GUUAACGGCUGCGGUUGGAAGUGGCUGUGGGGAUUGCUGCGGCUGGCGCGGCGCCGCUCUAGGUACGUUGGGGCCGGGCGAGUGUCCUGCGAGAGCGGCGAUUGGCGGGGUGGCGGCUCUGGGAGCGUCGGUCGCCUCUCUGUGGGCCGGCCUCGGAGCGCCGGGCCGACCGGACGUUUGCGGCGAGGCUGCCCUGACUGAAAAGCGCCCGCGGGGCCGUCUGACCGGGCCGGGAAUAGGCCCCUGAGGGGCAGACGGGCGCGUCUGCACCGUUUUCGCAGAGGGGUGCUGGUGAAACGGGAGUGGUGUGCGGCCCUAGGUCCGGGCGGCCCUGGGGUUGGGGACUGCGGAGGGAAGUGGUCCGUGUUUUUUGUCCUGAGGGGUAAGUGAAAGCUCGCUCUUGUCCGGAAUGCUUUCAGAAAUUAACGGAUAAAUCUCCACCUCCACCAACUUUAGUGUCCCAUUGCCAAAUUUUCUUGAGUCGUUUUAAUCAUCUAAUGAAGCCAGGUGCCAGAAGGCAACCGGAUCUCGACAGGCGGCCUUGAAGUUUGUUAAAAAGUAGGGACCAGAGCAUCAGGAAACAUACAAAAUUCUGAGUAAAAUGCUGAAAUCCCGUACCUCAGAGCUUGCCGGUGUAGGGAUGGUAGGAUUUAAGGAAGACGAUUUCCUUAAGGUAGAAGUUCGUUUUUAUGAAUAUGUUUUUAAGAAAGUUCCAUCUUAUCGCCCUUCUCUAACCAAUUUUCUCCAAGUUUGGCAAGCAAGUUUGAGAAAGAGAGGACGCAGUAAUUAUUUUUGCUUUAUUUCUGUUAAAACCUUACCGCACUUAAGGAAACGGGCUUCUACGUUUCCAUGUUUCUGUGUUGAAAAUGAAGUUUCUAACCACGUGUUCCUUCCUUUAAGACACAACGGCUUUUUCUGCUCUGAAGACUUGUAUAUGGUUAAUAUGUAUAGAAGAGGACAGUUGUACUGAAUAGUCCACAUUAGAAAAAUUAUGUCAUAUUCACUUAAAUUGUUAUUCUAGAUUGCGACUUAAUACUGUUUUUAUUAUGAUCUUGUCAUAUUUAUUGUAGCCAGUAAAUGACCUGCGACAUAACUAUUUGCAAAACAAAUGGGGAAGACCAAGAUAAGUUAUAUCACAGGAAAGCAAUUGAAAAUGCAAAAAUGAAUCAUCUGAAUGAAGGACUAAUAACACUGAAUUCAGCUUUUGUGAAGUAUGCCUUUCUUCUUAGCUUCUUUAUUCUGCAAUACAUUUGUAGAAGUGUUGACUCCGAUCUUAAUCAAAUUUACUUCACUCUCAGUCUUAUCUGCAGAUAUGUACAGACCACAUCCUAAGAUUGACUUCUGCCUCAACAGAAAUACAUGAGCCGGUGCCUUACUGGAAAUGAUUUGCGCGUUUUAAGAACUGGUGUAUAUAGGUACAUCUUGAAUGUUCUGCUUUCCUUGCCUUAUGCCUGUACUUCACCUCAGCCUUCAAUUCCAUUGUGUUUCCUUGCUACUUGAUAUCUUGAAAUCUGGUACGAAACUACUGCAUGAUCCCUGCACCUUUGCUUCUGCAUAUAUCAUAGCUCUCUUAUAGUGAGCGUGCACAAUCUAUUUCAUUUGAUGUAAUCAAAGUUUAAAUAAUAUAUUGGAUAGUUAAAAAUAAAAUACAACUUUAAAUGCGCAA
rnacentral:sRNA from 1 species